GCCCUCGUAGCUCAAUCGGUAGAGCGCGCGCCUUUUAAGCGUUGAGGUUGUGGGUUCGAGCCCCACCGGGGGCA
rnacentral:tRNA from 1 species